CAAAGCCGAGCACAUUCACUGGAUCUUUGCAGGCAGUUUCAGAGUUCUGGCAGAAUGGAAGAAGUAUAAAGAGAAUGGUUCACUGCUUCUCGGGUAUACACUAUCUUGUGAGAAUUUAUGGGUCGUGCUUGAGAACAGUGCCUGCAUGGCAAUUCUUGCAGCAUCUUGACUGCUGUAUAUCAUCCCAUUUUCUUAUUUGCCACAGUAUAAAUCAGCUUUGCAAAUCGCCACUCACGCAGCUCGAACUAGCUCGUGUGCCCACAGCUCUGACAGCUCCUGGUGGAGGGGAAGCAGCAGGAGCCAGGAGGGAGCCUCGGACUAGCCAGCGGCGCCCCAGUUCUGCCUAA
rnacentral:lncRNA from 1 species